CCAACGCAAACACACAAAGCCCGACUCCGGAGUGGUACUCGUGGGCGCUACCCAACCGAGUAUGCAAACUUGUCUCUGCCGAGCUCAAUCAGACUCUCACAGGCUAUAGUGAAAGCAAAUGGGUCUAACUGGUCUAACAACCAAAACUCACGUGCCCUCGGCACAAUCCGAUGCAAAAACAGCAAACUGGGUCCACCGUCAACCGCGACGGCAUCAGACAGUCUGGAACAGUCUAUACACUACUGUAAAAAUAAACUCGGUUCCCAGGACGAGCGUAAAUUCAUUCUACACUAUUCUGGAUAUCCACCGCCCACAAACUGCGGCGAUACAAAUAAACUAUAGCUCCUAAAGCUAAAUCUA
rnacentral:lncRNA from 1 species